UUCAUAAAAAGACUUACUAUUCUUAUUACCUAAAGUCAUCAGAAUCGAGAUAUUGUUGUUCUAAAGGUUUUUGUUGAUAUGAUUGUUAAAUAAAACGAAUGAUGACAAAAGGGGUCCAGUCCUUCCUACCGUUUCCCUAUUCCCUAAUAGAAGACCGUUUCAAUGGUAGCAGAGCGUGGUUUCUUUCUGUUGGCAGGGGAGGGUAGAAUUGACUUCCCUUUCCUUUUUUAUCAUUCGUUUAUUUUGGAUUUAUGAUUGAAAUAUUGUCAUUCUAAGUUCUCACUUAACAUUUUGUUUUCUUCUCAGAUGCUUGUCGUCCGAUAUGGCUUUAAGAGAGUGUUCAGGCACCUGUUAUUUGAAGAAAGAAUUGUUACAGUACGAUCUUCGAAUUAGAGAGCAACCGGUAGCCGGAAGUGUUCCGGAACAAGCCGCUAGGUUUCGCGGGGCGUUAGACCGUUCGGUUUCCAUCUCCCCCGACAUCGUUGGCAAGUGUGUUUGAGGAAGAUGUUGGCCCAGAGUCCACUGACUGGUGAUCCCUUAGGAAGCCCAUCCCAUUUGUAGAAAUAAUGAUUGAAGAUAGGAAGGCACUGAUGAUGCAUAUUAUGUAUGAAGAGGAGAAGACUGAAUUGAGGUUCUAGAAUGAAAUUUUCACUCUGUAGUGAUGUGUACACUGAUAUGAAACUUCCUGUCAGAUUAAAAUGGCUCUUGCCGG